CCCGCCGGACCUGACUGCUAUCGGAUUGAUACUAAGCCAUGCGAGUCAUUGUAGCAAUACAAGGCAUACGGCUCAGUAACGCGUAGUCAACCUACCCUAUGGACGGGAAUAACCUCGGGAAACUGAGUAUAAUUCCCGAUAGAACAUUAUGCCUGGAAUGGUUUAUGUUCCAAAUGAUUUAUCGCCGUAGGAUGGGACUGCGGCCUAUCAGUUUGUUGGUGAGGUAAUGGCCCACCAAGGCGAUUACAGGUACGGGCUCUGAGAGGAGAAGCCCGGAGAUGGGUACUGAGACACGGACCCAGGCCCUAUGGGGCGCAGCAGGCGAGAAAACUUUGCAAUGUGCGAAAGCACGACAAGGUUAAUCCGAGUGAUUUCUGCUAAAGAAAUCUUUUGCCAGUCAUAAAACCACUGGUGAAUAAGGGGUGGGCAAGUUCUGGUGUCAGCCGCCGCGGUAAAACCAGCACCUCAAGUGGUCAGGAUGAUUAUUGGGCCUAAAGCAUCCGUAGCCGGCUUUGUAAGUUUUCGGUUAAAUCCAUGUGCUCAACGCAUGGGCUGCCGAAAAUACUGCAUGGCUAGGGAGUGGGAGAGGUAGACGGUACUCAGUAGGAAGGGGUAAAAUCCCUUGAUCUAUUGAUGACCACCUGUGGCGAAGGCGGUCUACCAGAACACGUUCGACGGUGAGGGAUGAAAGCUGGGGGAGCAAACCGGAUUAGAUACCCGGGUAGUCCCAGCUGUAAACGAUGCAGACUCGAUGAUGCAUUGGCAUAAUAGCCAGUGCAGUGUCGCAGGGAAGCCGUUAAGUCUGCCGCCUGGGAAGUACGUACGCAAGUAUGAAACUUAAAGGAAUUGGCGGGGGAGCACCACAAGGGGUGAAGCCUGCGGUUCAAU
rnacentral:rRNA from 1 species